GAUGAACGCUGGCGGCGUGCCUAAUACAUGCAAGUCGAGCGAACAGAUGAGGAGCUUGCUCCUCUGACGUUAGCGGCGGAAGGGUUAGUAACACGUGGAUAACCUACCUAUAAGACUGGGAUAACUUCGGGAAACCGGAGCUAAUACCGGAUAAUAUAUUGAACCGCAUGGUUCAAUAGUGAAAGACGGUUUUGCUGUCACUUAUAGAUGGAUCCGCGCCGCAUUAGCUAGUUGGUAAGGUAACGGCUUACCAAGGCAACGAUGCGUAGCCGACCUGAGAGGGUGAUCGGCCACACUGGAACUGAGACACGGUCCAGACUCCUACGGGAGGCAGCAGUAGGGAAUCUUCCGCAAUGGGCGAAAGCCUGACGGAGCAACGCCGCGUGAGUGAUGAAGGUCUUCGGAUCGUAAAACUCUGUUAUUAGGGAAGAACAAAUGUGUAAGUAACUAUGCACGUCUUGACGGUACCUAAUCAGAAAGCCACGGCUAACUACGUG
rnacentral:rRNA from 1 species